rnacentral:rRNA from 1 species
UACGGGGGGGGGCAAGCGUUGUUCGGAAUUACUGGGCGUAAAGGGCUCGUAGGCGGCCAACUAAGUCAGACGUGAAAUCCCUCGGCUUAACCGGGGAACUGCGUCUGAUACUGGAUGGCUUGAGUUUGGGAGAGGGAUGCGGAAUUCCAGGUGUAGCGGUGAAAUGCGCAGAUAUCAGGAAGAACACCCGUGGCGAAGGCGGCUCUCUGGUACGUGACUGACGCUGAGACGCGAAAAGCGUGGGGAGCAAACAGG